AACUGAGACCGGGAUGGGAAGGACUCAGCCAAGGCCACACAGCAAGUCUGGGCAGAGCAUGGACCAGGCUCUUCCUACUUUCUCCGCCUACUCCUCCAGUUUUGUAAUCUUCCUCCCCACCUUACCCCUCCCCAGCAGUUCCAGCUUCCUCUAGCUCAGAGCCCCGGGAGGGGAAAGGGGUCUAGAGGGGUGGGAGGGGCCCAGGUCUCAGUUCCAGGAAGAUGUGGCUGGACUGAAUUCCUUGAGCUGAGCUGACAACAGGCUCUGAAGCAUCUGGUUAAACUUUGGGCCACCUGCCUCUCCAAUGCCAGAGCUGAUCCAAGGCCAGGGAGGUUGUUUAACUCUCUCCUGGCCUGGCUGAUAAGAGCAGCAGAGAUGUCUGUGAAUAUGCUGGGCCGGGGCAAUCACCCAUUCAGUGCCGUUCUUCAUGCAGGGCACCGGGUGGAGGAAUCACAUGCAGAUCCUGCCCCUUCCAAGCUCGUAGUCGUGCUACGGAGACAGUGACCCUCAGAGGGGGUGAUCAACUCCAUUUCAUGGAUAAGAAAGCUGAGGCUCAGAUUGCUACGGCAGCUUUUGAAGCACUCCUGGGAGACGAAGGGGAAGCGUCUGACAGGGCUCACCAGCCAGACCUGAGGGAGACCCAGCUCUGCAGGCCUCGGCGCCUGCACAGCAGCUCAACAGCCUCAUGCUAUGUCUUCACAGCCCUUUACAGUUUGCAAAGCACUUGUCUACUCACCAUGAGAGCCUCGCAAG